rnacentral:rRNA from 1 species
UGGAUCUCAAAUCAGACAAGACGACCCG